AGCGAACGCUGGCGGCAGGCCUAACACAUGCAAGUCGAGCGCCCCGCAAGGGGAGCGGCAGACGGGAGAGUAACACGUGGGAACGUACCCUUUGGUUCGGAACAACCCAGGGAAACUUGGGCUAAUACCGGAUAAGCCCUUACGGGGAAAGAUUCAUCGCCGAAGGAUCGGCCCGCGUCUGAUUAGCUAGUUGGUGGGGUAACGGCCCACCAAGGCGACGAUCAGUAGCUGGGCUGAGAGGAUGAUCAGCCUCACUGGGACUGAGACACGGCCCAGACCCCUACGGGAGGCAGCAGUGGGGAAUAUUGGACAAUGGGCGCAAGCCUGAUCCAGCCAUGCCGCGUGGGUGAUGAAGGCCCUAGGGUUGUAAAGCCCUUUCGGCGGGGAAGAUAAUGACGGUACCCGCAGAAGAAGCCCCGGCUAACUUCGUUCCAGCAGCCGCAGUAA
rnacentral:rRNA from 1 species